rnacentral:rRNA from 1 species
ACGACGCACUGAGACACGGUCCAGACUCCUACGGGAGGCAGCAGUGGGGAAUAUUGCACAAUGGGGGAAACCCUGAUGCAGCGACGCCGCGUGGAGGAAGAAGGUCUUCGGAUUGUAAACUCCUGUUGUUGAGGAAGAUAAUGACGGUACUCAACAAGGAAGUGACGGCUAACUACGUGC